GACCUACCCAUGGUCAGGUUGAAGUGGAAGUAAAAUUCCAUGGAGGACCGAACCGACCUCCGUUGAAAAGGCGGCGGAUGAACUGUGGGUAGCGGAGAAAUUCCAAUCGAACCCGGAGAUAGCUGGUUCUCCCCGAAAUAGUUUUAGGACUAGCCUCAACUUAGAUAUCUGGAGGUAAAGCACUGAAUAGCCUAGCGGCCGAGAGGUUAGCGAAGCUUAUCAAACUCAGAAUGCCAGAAUAUUGAUGGUUGGGAGUCAGACAGUGUCAGAUAAAUGUCAUUGUCAAAAGGGAAACAGCCCAGAUCUACAGCUAAGGUCCCAAAGUCAGGUUAAGUGGAAAACGAUGUGGAGAUACGCAGACAACCAGGAUGUUGGCUCAGAAGCAGCCACUCAUUCAAAGAGUGCGUAAUAGCUCACUGGUCGAGCGUCUCUGCGCGGAGAAUUUAACGGGGCUAAACCUGACACCGAAGCUUAGGCAAUGUAGUAAUACAUUGGGUAGGGGAGCGUUGUAUACGCGGUGAAACAGUAGCGCAAGCGGCUGUGGAGUGUAUAGAAGUGAGAAUGCCGGAAUGAGUAGCGCGAAUGCAGUGAGAAUCUGCAUGGCCGAAAGCCUCAGGUUUCUGGAGGAAGGUUCGUCCGCUCCAGGUUAGUCGGGAGCUAAGGUGAGGCCUAACGGCGUAGCCGAUGCACAGACGGUAGAGAUUCCGUCACCACCAAAAGAGUUAAACACAGGGACACAUAUGAAGUCUCGGAGCCGGGUGUUGGUUCCGGUAGCGAUCGAGGGAAGUUAGUACCGAAGUCCGGGAUGGAAGAUGGCGAGAAAAGCUGUGUGUAUUUCUGCGGUGCCCGUACCGCAAACCGACACAGGUAGGUAGGAAGAAGAUUCUAAGGCCAACGGGAGAAGGGUUGUUAAGGAACUCGGCAAAUUGACCCCGUAACUUCGGGAGAAGGGGUGCUGCAGCAAUGCAGCCGCAGAGAAUCGGCCCAAGCAACUGUUUACCAAAAACACAGGUUUGUGCUAAAUCGAAAGAUGACGUAUACGAGCUGACGCCUGCCCGGUGCUGGAAGGUUAAGAGGAGAUGUGCAAGCAUUGAAUCGAAGCCCCAGUGAACGGCGGCCGUAACUAUAACGGUCCUAAGGUAGCGAAAUUCCUUGUCAGGUAAGUUCUGACCCGCAUGAAAGGCGUAAUGAUUUGGGCACUGUCUCAACAGCCCGCCCGGCGAAAUUGUAGUACCGGUGAAGAUGCCGGUUACCCGCGACAAGACGGAAAGACCCCAUGGAGCUUUACUGUAGCCUAAUAUUGGGUUUCGAUGUUGCAUGCACAGGAUAGAUGGGACACUGGGAAGCAGGUGCUUUGGCGCUUGUGGAGUGGCCGUUGGGAUACCAUCCUUGCGAUAUUGGAAUUCUAACCUGCGCCUUUGAAUCAAGGCGGGGGACAUUGUUAGGUGGGCAGUUUGACUGGGGCGGUCGCCUCCUAAAGAGUAACGGAGGCGUUCAAAGGUUCGCUCAGCUUGAACGGAAAUCAAGCAAAAGAGUGCAAACGCAGAAGCGAGCCUAACUGCGAGACUGACGGGUCGAGCAGUAACGAAAGUUGGAGUUAGUGAUCCGGUGGUAUGUGAGUGGAAAUGCCAUCGCUCAACGGAUAAAAGUUACCCUGGGGAUAACAGGCUGAUCUCCCCCAAGAGUCCACAUCGACGGGGAGGUUUGGCACCUCGAUGUCGGCUCAUCGCAUCCUGGGGCUGUAUUCGGUCCCAAGGGUUUGGCUGUUCGCCAAUUAAAGCGGUACGCGAGCUGGGUUCAGAACGUCGUGAGACAGUUCGGUCCCUAUCUGUCGUGGGCGCAGGAUAUUUGAUGGGAGCUGUUCCUAGUACGAGAGGACCGGAGCGGACGUACCUCUGGCGCACCAGUUGUUCUGCCAAGAGCAUAGCUGGGCAACUAUGUACGGAUCGGAUAAACGCUGAAAGCAUCUAAGCGUGAAGCCGACCCAAAGAUAAGAUAUCCCAUUGUUUCAAACAAGUAAGACCCCUUGAAGACUACAAGGUUGAUAGGCACGAUGUGUAAGUGGAGCGAUCCAUUCAGCAAGCGUGUACUAAUAGGUCGAGGGCUUGACCA
rnacentral:rRNA from 1 species